UUUAUAUAAUAUUGUACACCAACUAUGAUUUAAAUUUUUUUUUUUAAAAAAAGGUUGAUGGGAAAUGUUACAGUGGAAGAAUGUGGUCACCAUUUGAACCCACUGAUGAAUCAGCAUGAACAAAAGUGAAACCACCAGAAAUAAUGCACUGAAAUAUGGAGAGAGCACUCUUCUUCUGUCUUCAUGGAAGUUCAACAAAAAGGACAAUUCAUUUAUGUGGAACAUAUCUUCUGAUAAUCGACAGCUAAUUUUGUUUACCUUAAAGAAAAUACAACCUGUGAUAUUUAUUUUCUAUCAGGCUCACAGGAAGAUAGCAUUGCCCAGCCUCCCUGCAGUUAGGUGGAGUCAUGUGACCAGGUUCCAACUAAUGGAAUGUGAGGGGAGGUGAUGUAUGAUACUUUCAGGCCUGACCCCUAAAGCCUCUCUGUGACCUUUCACACCCCUUUUCCUCAUUUGCCAAUCAACAUGAAAGAUCUACCGGAGAAUUUUAUGGCCCUGGGGCCUAGAAUGCCACAGAGAAGGAGCCUGAGACACCCCUGAAUGAGUCUGGGCAGAGGCAGGGCAGGUAACAGAAUCUGCCAUGCCCAAAUAUGCCACUCUGACAUGACAAUUAUUUUAAGCUGAAGGCAAGUGAGAAAAAGUAAACACAGAAUGUGCUCUCUGGCCUCCCCCAUCUUUCUGAAAACAGAAUAUAAAUUCCCCUCAUCAAGGUGUCCUCCUGUCCACAACUUCCUGUAUCAAGAAGGGCAUAACAGUCUCACUAACAGAGCUGAGCUGGCCCUAAUGAAAUCGCCACACAGCAAACCUUAAUACCUAGCCAUUAUCUACCAUUACUUUCUUCAUAUAUCUGCCUUCCCACCAUUUGCCAUCCAAGAAGCUCAAAGUCCUUUUCCUUGGUCUUUUCACUUCUCUACAAAAUUAUUGUUCUUCAUUUGCUAAGUUGCUAUAGAAGCCCCAAUUCUAACCACUCCUUAAAGUUACUCAUCGCUAAGUAUUUCCAUGUAUAUGCAGGAUGCACAUGUUAAUAAACUUGCUUUUCUCUUGUUCGUCUGUCUUUUCUCAGUGUAAUUUGCAAGGUCCCAGCCAAUGAAACUAAGAUAAAGAGAGGAAAAAUAAUAUUUUUUCCCUUCCCUACAGGUGCUUCCUACCUCAACCUUCUUUGGACUUUGCUGUGAGAUAAAAAAUCUUUACUGUGUGAAUAAGUCAUUGAGAUUUGGAAGCUGGAGGAGCUUAUGUUUGGAAGAGGUAAUCAAGACAAUGUUGCCCCUUGAACUAGACCUGGGCAAAUCAAAGCCUCCUCACCCACUCCCACGUGUUUGGAAUGUAUGCUCUGCCCACUGUUCCCACAGUGGGUGUGUUCCAAGGACCCUGCCUUCAGAGAGUAAGGUAUUCUGAGACCAUCUGGAUGGUAUAUGUGACUGAACCCAGCAGCUAAUGCCUCUGUAUGAACUUGAAGAUUCCAGGGGGUGGGUGUAGAGACCUACUCAUCUUAGUAUCACCCAAGACAAACCUUGUAAAUUCCCUGGCUUAUUAAACCUGCCACCUUCCAAUCUGGAGUGACUGUCUUUUUCUUCAGUCUUUCCUGGUCCUCUGAUCACAGGAGCCAGUUUCUGAACCAAUAGUUUAUUUAUUCUAACAGAUCUUAGAUACUCUUUAACUAUGAAUGUCUGCCUCUACAUGUCAUAAGGAUUAAAUAAGAUGAUACAUGAUACAAUAAACUGUGAAGUACUGUAUAUUAUU